ACAAAUCUACGCACUAAUAAAGACUGUUGAAGUUCCGUCUAGGGAAUCCAAUAUUCGUUAUGUCUGGCCAUAUACUCGUAUAAAAGACGCUCCCUUUAAUGGAAGGGCAUGGCCGAUUGCGAGGCAUAGCCAAUGCAAAAAUAUUGCCAACAUUCCGCAAAACAACGCAAACUGCCACUGCCGGCUAUUUAGUCUACUUCCCGCAGCCGAAGGGAAAAGUAAGUGGAAGUGGAAUUGAUGAGAACGGUGGUCCGGAGAGCUCAACGCCGCAUUCCAUCACAACUCCCUGAUGCGCGAGAAAUUAAACAAUUUAAUUAUAUUUAUAUGGAACAGUUAUGAUGCUUUCCCGCCGUGUUUCUCCUUUUUUCCCUGACAAAGCUAUUCCAGAUUAAAACCGCAGCCAACGCAAACAGUCAACAACAGCAAUAGCAGCGACAUGAAAUGUUAUGGUUAAUAACAGGAAAGAUUUCUUUGGAGACCGAAUAUUUUGAUAUUCCUGCAGAUCGUUGCCCCAGUAGCCAAUAACUAACCAACUGGACAAUGAAAACCAAUUGAAUUUUCUAAACUGCAGUGGGCACUGUCAGAAUCUAAAUGGCUCUACCCUUGAUAUGGCCACAGCAAAUCAAAAUUCAAAUAACGUGAAAUUAAAUAUAAUAAUUUUUCAGUACAGUUUGAAUCAAAAAGGAGGAGGUUA